rnacentral:pre_miRNA from 1 species
CCGGCAACAAUAUCCUGGUGCUGUCUGAGUGUGCAUCACCGACUCCAGCAUCAGUGAUUUUGUUGCUGG